UUUGUGACAUACCUAUAACUGUUGCUUCGGCGGGUAGGGUCUCCGCGACCCUCCCGGCCUCCCGCCUCCGGGCGGGUCGGCGCCCGCCGGAGGAUAACCAAACUCUGAUUUAACGACGUUUCUUCUGAGUGGUACAAGCAAAUAAUCAAAACUUUUAACAACGGAUCUCUUGGUUCUGGCAUCGAUGAAGAACGCAGCGAAAUGCGAUAAGUAAUGUGAAUUGCAGAAUUCAGUGAAUCAUCGAAUCUUUGAACGCACAUUGCGCCCGCCAGCAUUCUGGCGGGCAUGCCUGUUCGAGCGUCAUUUCAACCCUCAAGCUCUGCUUGGUGUUGGGGCCCUACAGCUGAUGUAGGCCCUCAAAGGUAGUGGCGGACCCUCCCGGAGCCUCCUUUGCGUAGUAACUUUACGUCUCGCACUGGGAUCCGGAGGGACUCUUGCCGUAAAACCCCCCAAUUUUCCAAAGGUUGACCUCGGAUCAGGUAGGAAUACCCGCUGAACUUAAGCAUAUCAAUAAGGCGGAGGAA
rnacentral:rRNA from 2 species